rnacentral:rRNA from 1 species
AGAGUUUGAUCAUGGCUCAGAUUGAACGCUGGCGGCAUGCCUUACACAUGCAAGUCGAACGGCAGCACGGGUACUUGUACCUGGUGGCGAGUGGCGAACGGGUGAGUAAUACAUCGGAACGUACCUUAUCGCGGGGGAUAACGCAGCGAAAGCUGUGCUAAUACCGCAUACGCCCUGAGGGGGAAAGCGGGGGAUCGAAAGACCUCGCGCGAUUAGAGCGGCCGAUGCUUGAUUAGCUUGUUGGUGGGGUAAAAGCCCACCAAGGCGACGAUCAAUAGCUGGUCUGAGAGGACGAUCAGCCACACUGGGACUGAGACACGGCCCAGACUCCUACGGGAGGCAGCAGUGGGGAAUUUUGGACAAUGGGGGCAACCCUGAUCCAGCAAUGCCGCGUGAGUGAAGAAGGCCUUCGGGUUGUAAAGCUCUUUUGUCAGGGAAGAAACACCGGCUCUAACACAGUCCGGGAAUGACGGNACCUGAAGAAUAAGCACCGGCUAACUACGUGCCAGCAGCCGCGGUAAUACGUASGGUGCAAGCGUUAAUCGGAAUUACUGGGCGUAAAGCGUGCGCAGGCGGUUAUACAAGACAGGC